GAUGAAGAACGUAGCGAAAUGCGAUAAGUAAUGCGAAUUGCAGAAUCCGUGAGUCAUCGAAUCUUUGAACGCACAUUGCGCCCCCUGGUAUUCCGGGGGGCAUGCCUGUCCGAGCGUCAUUACAACCCUCAAGCUCAGCUUGGUGUUGGGCCCCGCCGCCCCGGCGGGCCCUAAAGUCAGUGGCGGUGCCGUCCGGCUCCGAGCGUAGUAAUUCUUCUCGCUCUGGAGGUCCGGUCGUGUGCUCGCCAGCAACCCCCACUUUUUUUCAGGUUGACCUCGGAUCAGGUAGGGAUACCCGCUGAACUUAAGCAUAUCAAUAAGCGGAGGA
rnacentral:misc_RNA from 1 species